CCGUUUCUGGGACGCCAAACUGUGCUAAGACCUCAUGCUGGAAUAGGAUCACGGCCGAUGAAGUGGCUUUGGACAAGGCCUUCAACCAGACAUACUUGACAUGUAGUCGAAGACUAUGAGAAUGACCACAUUCCCACCUCGUGUCCUAGGAUAUGGACCCAGAAAGUCGAGGUACCACACUCUGCGACAUACGCCUUCACCUGCACCGCCAUCCGGGGCCAGUAAUAACACUGCCGCAGUCAUCCCGGUGUCCUCGCGACACCUCCAUGCAUUGCCACGUCGCUAUCGUGUGCCUCCUGGAUCAGCGUGUUCGUCAGUGCUUCUGGAAUCCACUGCUUCCACUAGAACUCCUCCAACUCUGGCCGGGCAAAUUGUUUACGCCUAAACAGCAGGCCAUCCUCUACCUUCAGGUCUGGAAAGUUGUCCCUAUCCUGCUGGACUGUCUCUAUCCUCCUCAGGUAUUCCUCGUCUUCGAAUGCUGUGGUGUCGAAGUCCAGGAAGUCGAUCGCCUCUACGUCAAACGGACGAGACAGCAUAUCCGCGACAACGUUGUCCUUCCCCUUGCGGUGCUCUAUUUCGAAGUCAUACGCCUGGAGAGCUAAUGACCAUCUAGCUUGUCUCCCAUCCAGCGCCUUGAACUUCAUCAGCCACUGCAAGCUUGCGUGAUCCGUUAUCACCGUGAAUGGCAUCAGCUCUACGAACGCUGUAAUUCAGUUGCGAUCGGGUCUUCCGCUCCUUCCUUCUGGAAGAGAACUGCUCCAAUCCCCACGUGGCUCGCAUCCCACUGGAUAAAAAAGUGUUUCUUAAAGUCCGGGUGGCGUAACAAGGGAGCGCUGGCAGUCUGUGAGAGGAGCUGAUAAUGCCGAGAAAUUUCGAAUAAACCGGCGAUACCAGCCGGCAGUCCCCAAAAAUCUCCGAAUUUGUCGCACGUUCGUCGGCAUCGGUAUCUGCGUGAUCGCCUGUACCUUCUCCGGAUCGGUCCUCAGUGCGCCGUCGCCUACGAUGUACCCUAGAUAGUUCAGCUUCAUGUGUUCCUCGAACGUCCGGGAAAUGACUAGCAGGUCAUCCAAAUAUACGAAGACAUGGCUUCGUAGUCGCUGGGGAAUCACGCGGUCCAUUAAUCG